AUGGGGACACAGGUGACACAGGGACACCAGGAGACAGCAGGGACACAGGGAACAUUGGUGACACAGAGACACAGGACCAGACACACUGGUGACACAGGACUGGGGACACUGGGGACACUGGAUACCGGGGACACAGGAGACACUGGGGACACUGGACAGGGGACACUGGUGACACAGGGACAUGGGGCACUGGUGACACAGGGACACCAGCUGUCAGGUGACACUGGUGACACAGGGGACACGGUGACACAGAGACAGGAGACACAGGGGACAAGGGACAUUGGUGACAAGACAGGGAACACAGGACAGGUGACACUGGUGACACGGGAGAGGGGACACAGGCAACACCCUGGGACAUUCCCAGCUCCAGGAUUGUCCCCCAUUCCCACUCUGGGACAUUCCCAGCUCCACAUCCAGGACUGUCCCCCAGGAUUGUCCCUCUGGUGCCACCCUGGGUCAUUCCCAGCCCUGGAUCCAGGACUGUCCCCCGGGACAUUCCCAGCUCUGGGAUUGUCCUCCAUUCCCACCCUGGGACAUUCCCAGCCCUGGAUCCCAGAUUUUCCCCCAGGAUUGUCUCUCCUGGCCUCACCCUGGGCAUUUCCCAGCCCUGGAUCCCGGAUUUUCCCUCGGGAUUGUCUCUCUGGUGCCACCCUGGGCAUUUCCCAGCCUUGGAUCCCAAAUUAUGCCUCUGGCCCCACUCAGGGACAUUCCCAGGCCCAGGAUUGUCCUCCAUUCCCACCUUGGGGCAUUCCCAGCCCUGGAUCCCAGAUUUUCCCCAGGAUUGUCUCUCCUGGCCUCACUCCAGGCAUUUCCCAGCCCUGGAUCCCAGAUUUUCCCCAGGAUUGUCUCUCCUGUCCUCACCCCGGGCAUUUCCCAGCCCUGGAUCCCGGAUUUUCCCCGGGAUUGUCCCCCAGGAUCGUCCCUGUCCCCGCACUCACGCCUGGAUCAGGCUGGCCAGGUCGUUGGUGGAGGGGCUGCUCCCGGCUGCUCCCAUGGCGUUGUGGCCUCCCGAAAUCAUCCCGGACAUUCUGUGAGGGGGAGGAAAAAAGUGUCAGAACUGGGGGGAAAAGAAUAAUAAUAAAAAAAAAUCCCUAA
rnacentral:lncRNA from 1 species